GGUUAGGGUUAUGACUUUUAGCCAGAGGCUAGGGUUAGGGUUACAGUUUUUAGCCAGAGGUUAGGGUUAGGGUUACAGUUUUUAGCCAGAGGUUAGGGUUAGGGUUAUGACCUUUAGCCAGAGGCUAGGGUUAGGGUUAUGACUUUUAGCCAGAGGCUAGGGUUAGGGUUACAGUUUUUAGCCAGAGGUUAGGGUUAGGGUUACAGUUUUUAGCCAGAGGUUAGGGUUA